GCCUACGGGGCGCAGCAGUAGGGAAUCUUCCACAAUGGGCGAAAGCCUGAUGGAGCAACGCCGCGUGGGUGAAGAAGGUCUUCGGAUCGUAAAACCCUGUUGUCAGAGAAGAAAGUGCGUGAGAGUAACUGUUCACGUUUCGACGGUAUCUAACCAGAAAGCCACGGCUAACUACGUGCCAGCAGCCGCGGUAAUACGUAGGUGGCAAGCGUUAUCCGGAUUUAUUGGGCGUGAAGGGAACGCAGGCGGUCUUUUAAGUCUGAUGUGAAAGCCUUCGGCUUAACCGGAGUAGGGCAUUGGAAACG
rnacentral:rRNA from 1 species